rnacentral:rRNA from 1 species
UACAGAGGGUGCGAGCGUUAAUCGGAAUUACUGGGCGUAAAGGGCGCGUAGGCGGUUAUUUAAGUUGGAUGUGAAAUCCCUGGGCUUAACCUAGGAACUGCAUUCAAUACUGGAUAACUGGAGUGCAGUAGAGGGUAGUGGAAUUUCCGGUGUAGCGGUGAAAUGCGUAGAUAUCGGAAGGAACACCAGUGGCGAAGGCGGCUACCUGGACUGACACUGACGCUGAGGCGCGAGAGCGUGGGGAGCAAACGGG